AUACGAAGGGGGCUAGCGUUGUUCGGAAUUACUGGGCGUAAAGGGCGCGUAGGCGGCCCGAUCAGUCAGAAGUGAAAGCCCCGGGCUCAACCUGGGAACUGCUUUUGAUACUGUCGGGCUUGAGUUUCGGAGAGGAUGGUGGAAUUCCCAGUGUAGAGGUGAAAUUCGUAGAUAUUGGGAAGAACACCGGUGGCGAAGGCGGCCAUCUGGACGAACACUGACGCUGAGGCGCGAAAGCGUGGGGAGC
rnacentral:rRNA from 1 species